rnacentral:tRNA from 1 species
UGGGGUUUAAAGCUCAGUGGUAAAGUGCUUGCCUUGCAUGCAUGAGGCACUGGGUUCAAUCCUCAGCACCACAU